rnacentral:rRNA from 1 species
UUGACCUCGGAUCANGUAGGGAUACCCGCUGAACUUAAGCAUAUCAAUAAGCGGAGGA